GCAAGGGGAGAGGAAAGUCCGAGCAACACAGAGCACCGUACAAGUUAACGGCUUGAUGUCCGUGAGGGCAUAGCAGCGUAACAGAAAACAACCGCCCGACGGGUAAGGGUGAAAAGGCGGGGUAAGAGCCCACCGCGAAUGCAGCAAUGUACUUCGGCAGUACGUCUUACGGGUUGCAAGGUUAUGUAUAUCGGCAAUUAAGGGUUGCUCGCCCGAUGCCGAGGGGUAAACCGCUGGAAGUCGCAGGCGACUGCGAUUGUAGAUAAAUGAUGGACUAAAACAGAACUCGGCUUACGG
rnacentral:RNase_P_RNA from 1 species